rnacentral:rRNA from 1 species
AACGCUAGCUACAGGCUUAACACAUGCAAGUCGAGGGGAAACGACAUCGAAAGCUUGCUUUUGAUGGGCGUCGACCGGCGCACGGGUGAGUAACGCGUAUCCAACCUGCCCACCACUUGGGGAUAACCUUGCGAAAGUAAGACUAAUACCCAAUGACGUCUCUAGAAGACAUCUGAAAGAGAUUAAAGAUUUAUCGGUGAUGGAUGGGGAUGCGUCUGAUUAGCUUGUUGGCGGGGUAACGGCCCACCUAGGCAACGAUGGAUAGGGGUUCUGAGAGGAAGGUCCCCCACAUUGGAACUGAGACACGGUCCAAACUCCUACGGGAGGCAGCAGUGAGGAAUAUUGGUCAAUGGACGAGAGUCUGAACCAGCCAAGUAGCGUGCAGGAAGACGGCCCUAUGGGUUGUAAACUGCUUUUAUAAGGGAAUAAAGUGAGACUCGUGAGUCUUUUUGCAUGUACCUUAUGAAUAAGGACCGGCUAAUUCCGUGCCAGCAGCCGCGGUAAUACGGAAGGUCCGGGCGUUAUCCGGAUUUAUUGGGUUUAAAGGGAGCGUAGGCCGGAGAUCAAGCGUGUUGUGAAAUGCAGAGGCUCAACGUCUGCACUGCAGCGCGAACUGGCUUGCUUGAGUACGCACAAAGAGGGCGGAAUUCGUGGUGUAGCGGUGAAAUGCUUAGAUAUCACGAAGAACUCCGAUUG